UAAGGAAUAUUCCGCAAUGGGCGAAAGCCUGACGGAGCGACGCCGCGUGAAGGAGGAAGCCCUUCGGGGUGUAAACUUCUUUUCUUUGGGAUGACACACUCUUCUCUCCGCAAGGGGAGGGAGUUAGGACAGUACCAGAGGAAUAAGCCUCGGCUAACUACGUGCCAGCAGCCGCGGUAAUACGUAGGAGGCGAGCGUUGUCCGGAUUUACUGGGCGUAAAGCGCGCGCAGGCGGCACACUAAGUACGGUGUGAAAUCUCCCUGCUCAACGGGGAGGGUGCAUUGUAAACUGGUGAGCUAGAGGACGGUAGAGGGGGGUGGAAUUGCUGGUGUAGCGGUGAAAUGCGUAGAGAUCAGCAGGAACACCCGUGGCGAAGGCGGCCCCCUGGGCCGAACCUGACGCUGAGGCGCGAAGGCUAGGGGAGCGAACGG
rnacentral:rRNA from 1 species